AUGGAGCCAGGUUUUAUUUUGUUCCAAUCAAAUCAUGCCACAUAUGCGGGAGCACGGAUGGGCACACACGCGGGGAGCAGCCAAGUCUCGUCCAUCAGAGUGCCCUCGAACCUCCCCAUCCAGGAUCCCUUCGCCGCCGCCCUCGCUCGCACAUCAAGCGCCCUCGAUCCCUGCGUCGCCGAACCUUCGCCGUCGGCGAUCCCUGCGGGACACCUCUGCCACCCGUGCCUUACCCUCCUCUGUGUGCUGGUGGUGGUGAUGCAGUGCGUCAUCGAUCGCGAGAUCGGCAAGCCCAAGUACCGGUGCGCUUGGGCCUGUGUGGACACGGCCGCGGACGGCGGCUGCAGGACGAUCGAGUGCGGCCUCCAGUACUCCACGCAAGAUCAGGUCGGCACCUGCCCGAUCCCCAUCCGAGUCCAGGGCCGGCCGUGCCGUCUGUGGCGACCGGCCAUGCUUCAGCCUUCAGCUGCCCCGGCCUGA
rnacentral:rRNA from 1 species